rnacentral:rRNA from 1 species
UACGUAGGGUGCAAGCGCUGUCCGGAAUUAUUGGGCGUAAAGAGCUCGUAGGCGGUCUGUUGCGUCGGCUGUGAAAACCCGGGGCUCAACCCCGGGCCUGCAGCCGAUACGGGCAGACUAGAGUUCGGCAGGGGAGACUGGAAUUCCUGGUGUAGCGGUGAAAUGCGCAGAUAUCAGGAGGAACACCGGUGGCGAAGGCGGGUCUCUGGGCCGAUACUGACGCUGAGGAGCGAAAGCGUGGGGAGCGAACAGG